rnacentral:rRNA from 1 species
GAUGAACGCUAGCGGCAGGCCUAACACAUGCAAGUCGAGGGGUAACAUAGGAAAGCUUGCUUUUCUGAUGACGACCGGCGCACGGGUGCGUAACGCGUAUACAACCUACCUUUUAGCGGGGAAUAGCCCAGGGAAACUUGGAUUAAUGCCCCAUAGUAUAUAGACUUCUCCUGAAGUUUAUAUUAAACAUUUAUGGCUAUUAGAUGGGUAUGCGUCCUAUUAGUUAGUUGGUAAGGUAAACGGCUUACCAAGGCAGCGAUAGGUAGGGGUCCGUGAGAGGGAGAUCCCCACCACUGGUACUGAGACACGGACCAGACUCCUACGGGAGGGCAGCAGUGAGGAAUAUUGGACAAUGGGCGAGAGCCUGAUCCAGCCAUGCCGCGUGCAGGAAGACUGCCCUAUGGGUUGUAAACUGCUUUUACAGAGGAAGAACCACCCCCACGUGUGGGGGUUUGACGGUACUCUGCGAAUAAGGAUCGGCAAACUCCGUG